rnacentral:misc_RNA from 1 species
ACAAUGUGAAACCUCGAAGGCAUACUUGAGAUUAGCAACUACAGACCAUAGCUGGAAAGCUCUUAAAGUGUAGUUUCCAAAUAAAAUGAGGAGAAGGAAUUCAAUCUGUUGACUUGACUUUGAAAGAAGGGAACUCGAGGAGGGGGGUAUCGUGUGGAGGGUAAACCAACCAAAAUUAUCUAUGCUGAAUCUCUCAAUUUUUCUUUAAGCUUAAUAUCUAGAAAAUUGUUCUCUAUAAUUUUAAUAAAGUAGGAUCACAAAGCAAUUGCGCAAUUUAUUAGCAUGGACCUUGUAGAGCUUCACUUGGUUUCCUCAUUAACAAAAUAAUUGAUACUAAAUAAAGACAGAAGUUUUAUGAGUAAAAAGCACAGGAGAACAAGAAGAUUAACAUGCGCUAAGGAAGACAAAAAUUCAUCUUCCGCAUAUUUUAAGGAGAUGGAUUUCUAGGCAAUAUUGGGGCUGUAUCCUACAGCUACAGGUUUUGGUGGAAUAUGCAUCCUCAUCUAUCAGGUUGCGGUGUUUUAUACAUGAUAUCCAUGGCAUUUGAUCCUUCA